UACGGAGGGUGCGAGCGUUGUCCGGAAUCAUUGGGCGUAAAGCGCGUGCAGGCGGUCCGUUAAGUCGGCCGUGAAAGCUCCGGGCUCAACUCGGAGAGGUCGAGCGAGACUGGCGGACUAGAGGCGGGCAGAGGGCGGUGGAAUUCCCGGUGUAGUGGUGGAAUGCGUAGAUAUCGGGAGGAACACCAGUGGCGAAGGCGGUUGCCUGGAGCUUUGCUGACGCUGAUGCGCGAAAGCGUGGGGAGCGAUCCGG
rnacentral:rRNA from 1 species